GACGAACGCUGGCGGCGUGCUUAACACAUGCAAGUCGAACGCUGAAGCACCAGCUUGCUGGUGUGGAUGAGUGGCGAACGGGUGAGUAAUACGUGAGUAACCUGCCCUUGACUCUGGGAUAAGCCCGGGAAACUGGGUCUAAUACUGGAUGCUACAUGUCACCGCAUGGUGGUGUGUGGAAAGGGUUUACUGGUCUUGGAUGGGCUCACGGCCUAUCAGCUUGUUGGUGAGGUAAUGGCUCACCAAGGCGACGACGGGUAGCCGGCCUGAGAGGGUGACCGGCCACACUGGGACUGAGACACGGCCCAGACUCCUACGGGAGGCAGCAGUGGGGAAUAUUGCACAAUGGGCGAAAGCCUGAUGCAGCGACGCCGCGUGAGGGAUGACGGCCUUCGGGUUGUAAAACGCUUUCAGCAGGGAAGAAGCCACAAGUGACAGUACCUGCAGAAGAAGCGCCGGCUAACUACGUG
rnacentral:rRNA from 1 species